GCUGGGUGCGGUGGCUCACGCCUGUAAUCCCAGCUCUUUGGGAGGCUGAGGUGGAGGGCUCACUUGAGCUCAGGAAUUUGAGGCUGCAGUGAGCAAGGACCAUGCCACUACACUGCAGCCUGGGCAACAGAGUGAGACCCUGUCUCUU
ensembl:misc_RNA Metazoa_SRP Metazoan signal recognition particle RNA